UAUAAAAGCAUAAUCCCCCUCAGACUAAACCCAUUUCUCUUUAAAUAUUCUCUCUUCUCCUUACUUCUCCCAACUUUCUCUAAACCCUCUCAAACUAACCCAACGGCCCUCCCCUCAAACCACCACCAACCGCCUUCAACCUACCACCGGGCGCCCUAAAAGCCACCAUGAAACCUAGUUUUUGGUUGAAGCUUCACCAGAAACUUCAUCCUCCAUCAAAACUUUCCAGAAUCCCUCUAAAUCAAGUCAAAACAUGCAAUGAUAUGAACAAACCCGUAACCAAAUCCCUUCCUAAACACAAUUCCCAAACAAAAACAACCAAAAACCUGCAAUUAGAAGAGAAAAAAAUCUAAAACCCUAAUCUUCCCCUCAUUCAAAAUCAAAACAAAUUCACCCUAACCCUUCAAUCGAAUAAUCAAACCACAACAGAAAUCACAACAACAUACAAAUACAAACACAAAUCAAGCCAAGACAAAGAGAUUAACCAAUAAACCCUAAGUCAAAAUAAAGUCUCAUUCUAGUUCAAACACAUUCAACACAAGCUUGGUGAGCAACAAUUAUAAUAAUCCACAAUGAAAAUUUUAGGAGAAGUGAAGUAUUACCACUCCAGAUGUUACUGGAGGGAUGAUCCACAAAUAAGUCCCAUGGAUUCUCUGUUCUCUUCCUUUUUUAUCUUAUCCACUUCUUCUACACCUUCUAUCUAUGUCCUUGAAACGGUUUGGAAAAAUCAUCCUUAAGUUUAGGCUUUCAUGUGAGAUUGAAGAUGGAUAAGAGGGACUGGAGAAAGCUUCUUGGAGAAAACUUGAGUAGGAAUAAGUGAUGGACCAAAAGUGAAGGUUUAAAUAUGAAUUGUUGGUGAAGAAGUUGGAUCAAAGCUUGAAGAUGAAUAGUCAUUAGGUGUUAGUUUUGUAGGCUUUUAAGUUCCAAUUAUGAACAAAAUGGUUAAAACUAAAAAAUGUACAAGAAUGUAAUGAAAAUGUGUAGUUGUUUGAUUGGCUGCAUUUUGUGUUAAAACACUAACUGUAUUCUGAUGUCUUAACUGAUGUCAUGACAUGCUUGAGUAGCAUGUUGCAGGAUUAGCUAAUACAAGAUUUACUGAAUGUCAAACUGGAUGUUAUGACAUUCAUCCAUGACAGCAGAUACUGAACUAUAGAAUAGUUGAUUUUUCUGUUA